rnacentral:SRP_RNA from 1 species
AGGCAAGUCCUACACAACCAGCUCCUGCAAAAUCCCCCAGGAUGGGAACAUAGCAAGGGUAUGCGGUCGAAGCGGUGUGAUGUAGAUAGCUUGCCUUUU